AAAAAUUCUUUAAACAC
rnacentral:tRNA from 1 species